GAUGAACGCUGGCGGCGUGCCUAAUACAUGCAAGUUGAGCGAACAGAUGAGGAGCUUGCUCCUCUGACGUUAGCGGCGGACGGGUGAGUAACACGUGGAUAACCUACCUAUAAGACUGGGAUAACUUCGGGAAACCGGAGCUAAUACCGGAUAAUAUAUUGAACCGCAUGGUUCAAUAGUGAAAGACGGUUUUGCUGUCACUUAUAGAUGGAUCCGCGCCGCAUUAGCUAGUUGGUAAGGUAACGGCUUACCAAGGCGACGAUGCGUAGCCGACCUGAGAGGGUGAUCGGCCACACUGGAACUGAGACACGGUCCAGACUCCUACGGGAGGCAGCAGUAGGGAAUCUUCCGCAAUGGGCGAAAGCCUGACGGAGCAACGCCGCGUGAGUGAUGAAGUUCUUCGGAUCGUAAAACUCUGUUAUUAGGGAAGAACAAAUGUGUAAGUAACUAUGCACGUCUUGACGGUACCUAAUCAGAAAGCCACGGCUAACUACGUG
rnacentral:rRNA from 1 species